rnacentral:tRNA from 1 species
GCGUUGGUGGUUCAGCGGUAGAACUCUCGCCUUCCAUGCAGGAGACUUGGGUUCAAUUCCUGGCCAACUCA